rnacentral:lncRNA from 1 species
GUGUAAAUGCAUUCCUAGAGAAUUUAACAGAAAAUAUUUUCAUUUUUGGGUGAAAACCAGAUCUUUCCCCUAUAUUUUUAAUACUGUUUUUGAGAGAAGAGAAAAAGGAAAGAUGAUAAAAAAAGACAGCAGCUGAGAGGAUCGUCUGUCUUAGCCGAGUUCCAUCAUGAGUAAUUCUGUCCUUGACUCAAUUUAGGAGAUUUAAAUUUAAUUCUAUGCUCUUCUUUCUCUUUCCCACCCUACACUUUGACUGAAGAUAGGAAGACAUUUUAGCAUGUAGCAUUUUAGAGACUGCAAAGCAAGUGGCUUCUAGGGUAUCUGUGAUGUUUGGGAUGAAUUCUGCUCCAAUUUGUAUUCCAAACUAUGUUUCCUGGUAUUAUAGAUUGCCUAUAUGGUAGGAGCAGUAUUUAACACAUUUUAGCUUAUUCAUUAAUGUAAUUUAUAUAAACAUAUCUAUCUAUCUAUAUAUCUUUAUCUUUGGAUAUAUAUAUCUCUCAAUAUAUAAUAUAAUUGAAAUUCUAUUCACUAAACCUCACUUAGGAGGAUGAUAACUGAUAGGGUAUAAUGUGUUCUUUUUGUCUUAUGUAAUGUUAUGAAUUGCUGGGUACUUGCUGCCAGAGCUGGCUGUACUUUGCUGGAAGAGUCUCUACAUCAAACAAUUUUCUGGCUGCACUGAAGAAAGUUAUUAAAACCUGAAAGCUGGUGCAUACCCUCUCUGGGAGGAAAAACAGGAUUUACCUCUGAUCUGACUGAGGGGAAUAAAGCGCGCUGCACUGCAAAGCUUCUUGUCCAGAUGAAUCCUUCUUUACAUGUAUUACUGCUCCCCUGCUGAGGAAGGAAGAGGGGGAGUGCUGACCCUGCUCAUUGCUGGACUUCUGUAGUAAAGACAGGCAGUCCAUUCAGAGGAAAAAACAGGAGUCUGGUAAAAGAAGCCAAACAGUGUGGGAACAUGAAAGCUGCCUUCCUCCUGGUCUCCUCCUGAUUGUCCUUUGUGACAAAGUGCUGCGUCUUAUGGUGAGUUUGUAUUUUCUGUCUGUCAUUGCAGUAAUCAUUACUAUGGAAUAUAG